GAUUCGGUAGUCUAAAUAGGACGUGGCGUUGAAGGUGCUGAGGUAGUCUUUAGGGGCUCCGAGUUU
rnacentral:tRNA from 1 species